AUCAAUUCUCGGCCUUUUGGCUAAGAUCAAAUGUAGUAUCUGUUCUUAUCAGUUUAAUAAUUUUUACUUCAGUAUUCCUGAACACUAAGGAAAACCAUGAUUUGCUUUCCCUGU
rnacentral:snRNA from 1 species